rnacentral:rRNA from 1 species
GACGAACGCUGGCGGCGUGCUUAAUACAUGCAAGUCGAAGGGGCUUACCAUCUUCGGAUGGUGAGUCACUGGCGCACGGGUGAGUAACACGUAAGUGAUCUGCCCUUGGGUCUGGCAUAACUCCGGGAAACCGGAGCUAAUUCCAGAUGACAUCUCACGAUCAAAGCCUUCGGGUGCCCAGGGAUGAGCUUGCGUCUGAUUAGCUAGUUGGCGGGGUAACGGCCCACCAAGGCAACGAUCAGUAGCCGGUCUGAGAGGAUGAUCGGCCACAUUGGGACUGAGACACGGCCCAGACUCCUACGGGAGGCAGCAGUAAGGAAUAUUGCGCAAUGGACGAAGGUCUGACGCAGCAACGCCGCGUGCAGGAUGAA